UCAAAAAUAGUAAGUCUUGAAAAGUUGAAACACUUUUACAGGCAUGGUGUGAGGGAACCAAGAGACCCUUGGUCAGAUGGACCUGAGAACAUAACACAAUGCCCAAUUCCACCUGGAACAAGUUUCACCCAGAAGGUGGCCUUUACAUUGGAAGAAGGAACUCUUUGGUGGCAUGCACACAGCAGUUGGACUCGUGCCACUGUCCAUGGUGCCAUUCUCAUUUUACCUGCCAAUGGAACUUCAUAUCCUUUCCCUGAACCUUAUGGACAAGAAAUUCUUAUCAUUGGAGAGUGGUAUAAGGGAGAUGUGAUGCAGAUCAUCAAUUCAGCCCUGGCAAAUGGUGGCGAGCCCAAUGCAUCAGAUGCUUACACCAUCAAUGGCCAACCUGGUGACUUGUAUAAUUGCUCAAGAGGUACAUUAAUGGUUAAUGUCUUGAACAUGGUUUUAAAUUGCGGUUGCGGUCGCGGUUGCAGUUACUGUGGUUGCGGGUAUUGCGGGUAUUGCGAUGCGGAUUGCGUCUGUUGUGGUGUGAGAUUAUUAAUUAUUUUCACUAAAUAUAAAAAAUUUAUAAUUAUCAAUAUAUAUUUUAUUUUUAAGGAUU